GUGUGUCAGUGUGUCCAGCGCCCCAUGCAAGGAGGGAUGCGCGUUGGCCAGGGCUGGCCACUUCCCCGGCAGGCCGGCCAACUCGUAGCGGCCGGAGCAGUUGGCUCGCUUCAGCUGGUGGGAGUCCCCGGUGUAGAGAGACAAGGUCUCACCAUGUUGCCCAGGCUGAUCUCGACCUCCUGGCCUCAAGCAAAUCUCCCACUUCAGCCUCCCAAAGUGCCGUGACUACAGGCAUGGGCCACUGGGCCCAGUCCAGGUAUCAUCUUAAAGUCAGAAUUGUAUGAAAAAAAAACAAAAUAAAGGACCAAACACAUCACAGAAACGUGUUCUAACAAAACAUCGUGGAAAAAGAAAAUUACUGCAUGCGUCCUGAUGGAAAUAUCUUUAGGCUAAGAAAAUGGACUAUUACCUAAGUCUGAGUCAAAAUAGAAACCCAUUUUGUAGCUCUAUAGUUGUAUUUUAACUGUAAUAUUAUGUAUACCUAGUUCUUUUCAAAAUGCUUCCUCCAGACCCCUGUUGUCCCUAAAGAAAAUAUAAUGGUGACAAAGAAAUUUACGUUCAGAUUUUUUAUCUAACCUCUACUCAACUGGUUUCUUCUCAUCCUCCUCCUCCUCCUUCUCCUCUUCCUUUUCCUCCUCCUUCUCCCUCUAUUCUUUUUCUUCCUUUUUCUCUGACAAGCAUUGAGUGCCCAAUGACAAAUUAGCAGUAAGUGUGAAUUGUCCCUAACGGAAGGGAAGAGAGGGAACUUCCAUAUCUGUGAGGUGCUUAUUAAAAUGUACUAAAACGUGUGUUGUUUCGAUUGCUUUGAGUACUACCAUUAAAGUAGGUCUGAUGCAGAAUCCUAACUGCAGUGGCCUAUAUAAAUCA